rnacentral:lncRNA from 1 species
AUAAAUAAAUAAAACAGAAAACACACAACACACAACCAAAUGUAGCAGUGAGGCUGGAAGCAAGAUGGAGUCAGUCAUGUUUGAUUUCUCUCCUUACUUAUAAUUCUGCAAAGGAGGUUUCAAUGUUGGGAUGGCAAAUAUUAAGUAUCAACUUGAUUGAAUACAAGAAUGCAAAAUAUUGUUGCUAGGUGUGUCUGAGAGGGCAUUGCCAGAGGAGAUUCACAUCUGAGUCAGUGCACUGGGAGCAGCAGACCCACCCUCAAUCUGGGGGGGCACCAUCCAAUCGGCUGCCAGCCCAGCUAGGAAAAGUAGGCCAAAGAAAACGGAAUGAGUCAACUUGCUGAGUCGUCCAGGCCUUCAUCUUUCUUCUGUGCUGGAUGCUUCCCUGCUCUUGAACAUCAAGACUUCAGGUUCUUUGACUUUUGGACCCUUGGACUUACACCAGUGGUUUGCCAGGUGCUCUCAGGGCUUCCGCCACAGACUGAAGCCUGCACCGUCAGCUUCACUGUCAUAUUUUUCAGGUUUUGGGACUCAGACUGAGCCACUGCUGGCUUCCUUGCUCCUCAGCUUGCAGAUGCCUAUUGUGGGACUUCACCUUACAGUCAUACCCGAUGUGAAGCCUGACUGAGCAGAGUGGAGACCAGCAGCUGCACGUCAAGUGGCCUUCCCAGGACUUGACUCCAUAUGCAUGUUCUCGUCCAUGGGCUCAUACCCAGUCCAAAGGACUUUACCCCAGCUCCAUCUUUGCCCAGACACACUUGAGGCUGCAGGGUUUUGGUGACUGUAAAUUGGUCUUGACCCUCUGAGGAAAUGGGGAUGCUGCAGAAGACACUGGCUAAAUUGAUAAAAUGGGAAAACGUCUUCUGCUACAGAGAAAAAGAAACCAAGAAAUUACGAAUAACAGACAAGGAGAUAACUGAAAAUAUUUGAGAAACUGCUAGAGAUUAGACUACAGGGCCAGGGCUCUUCAAAAGGAGUGAUGAAGACAUCUAGACUCCCCUCCUCAUUUCCACCUCCCUUCCCCCGACCCCCUGGCCAGGGACGGGGUCCCUACCUUUCA